UAAUACGAAGGUGGCAAGCGUUGUUCGGAUUCACUGGGCGUACAGGGAGCGUAGGCGGUUGGGUAAGCCCUCCGUGAAAUCUCCGGGCCUAACCCGGAAAGUGCAGAGGGGACUGCUCGGCUUGAGGACGGGAGAGGAGCGCGGAAUUCCCGGUGUAGCGGUGAAGUGCGUAGAGAUCGGGAGGAAGGCCGGUGGCGAAGGCGGCGCUCUGGAACGUUUCUGACGCUGAGGCUCGAAAGCGUGGGGAGCAAACAGGAUUAGAUACCCUGGUAGUCCACGCCUUAAACUAUGGAUACUAAGUGUCGGCGGGUUACCGCCGGUGCCGCAGCUAACGCAGUAAGUAUCCCGCCUGGGAAGUACGGCCGCAAGGUUG
rnacentral:rRNA from 1 species